rfam:Camelus ferus unplaced genomic scaffold scaffold988, whole genome shotgun sequence.
GAGGGUAUAGCUCAGUGAUAAAGCACAUGCUUAGCAUGCAUGAGGUCAUGGGUUCGAUCCCCAGUACCUCCG